rnacentral:rRNA from 1 species
UUGUUUGGAGAGUUUGAUCCUGGCUCAGGACGAACGCUGGCGGCGUGCUUAACACAUGCAAGUCGAACGGAAAGGCCUCCGGGGGUACUCGAGUGGCGAACGGGUGAGUAACACGUGGGUAAUCUGCCCUGCACUUCGGGAUAAGCCUGGGAAACUGGGUCUAAUACCGGAUAGGACCACGGGAUGCAUGUCCUGUGGUGGAAAGCUUUUGCGGUGUGGGAUGGCCCGCGGCCUAUCAGCUUGUUGGUGGGGUAACGGCCUACCAAGGCGACGACGGGUAGCCGGCCUGAGAGGGUGUCCGGCCACACUGGGACUGAGAUACGGCCCAGACUCCUACGGGAGGCAGCAGUGGGGAAUAUUGCACAAUGGGCGCAAGCCUGAUGCAGCGACGCCGCGUGGGGGAUGACGGCUUCGGGUUGUAAACCUCUUUCACCAUCGACGAAGGUCCGGGUUUUCUCGGAUUGACGGUAGGUGGAGAAGAAGCACCGGCCAACUACGUGCCAGCAGCCGCGGUAAUACGUAGGGUGCGAGCGUUGUCCGGAAUUACUGGGCGUAAAGAGCUCGUAGGUGGUUUGUCGCGUUGUUCGUGAAAUCUCACGGCUUAACUGUGAGCGUGCGGGCGAUACGGGCAGACUGGAGUACUGCAGGGGAGACUGGAAUUCCUGGUGUAGCGGUGGAAUGCGCAGAUAUCAGGAGGAACACCGGUGGCGAAGGCGGGUCUCUGGGCAGUAACUGACGCUGAGGAGCGAAAGCGUGGGGAGCGAACAGGAUUAGAUACCCUGGUAGUCCACGCCGUAAACGGUGGGUACUAGGUGUGGGUUUCCUUCCUUGGGAUCCGUGCCGUACUAACGCAUUAAGUACCCCGCCUGGGGAGUACGGCCGCAAGGCUAAAACUCAAAGGAAUUGACGGGGGCCGCACAAGCGGCGGAGCAUGUGGAUUAAUUCGAUGCAACGCGAAGAACCUUACCUGGGUUUGACAUGCACAGGACGCCGGCAGAGAUGUCGGUUCCCUUGUGGCCUGUGUGCAGGUGGUGCAUGGCUGUCGUCAGCUCGUGUCGUGAGAUGUUGGGUUAAGUCCCGCAACGAGCGCAACCCUUGUCUCAUGUUGCCAGCGGGUAAUGCCGGGGACUCGUGAGAGACUGCCGGGGUCAACUCGGAGGAAGGUGGGGAUGACGUCAAGUCAUCAUGCCCCUUAUGUCCAGGGCUUCACACAUGCUACAAUGGCCGGUACAAAGGGCUGCGAUGCCGCGAGGUUAAGCGAAUCCUUUUAAAGCCGGUCUCAGUUCGGAUCGGGGUCUGCAACUCGACCCCGUGAAGUCGGAGUCGCUAGUAAUCGCAGAUCAGCAACGCUGCGGUGAAUACGUUCCCGGGCCUUGUACACACCGCCCGUCACGUCAUGAAAGUCGGUAACACCCGAAGCCAGUGGCCUAACCCUUUGGGAGGGAGCUGUCGAAGGUGGGAUAGGCGA